rnacentral:rRNA from 1 species
UGGGGAAUUUUGGACAAUGGGCGAAAGCCUGAUCCAGCAAUGCCGCGUGUGUGAAGAAGGCCUUCGGGUUGUAAAGCACUUUUGUCCGGAAAGAAAUCCUUGGCUCUAAUACAGUCGGGGGAUGACGGUACCGGAAGAAUAAGCACCGGCUAACUACGUGCCAGCAGCCGCGGUAAUACGUAGGGUGCAAGCGUUAAUCGGAAUUACUGGGCGUAAAGCGUGCGCAGGCGGUCUGCUAAGACCGAUGUGAAAUCCCCGGGCUCAGCCUGGGAACUGCAUUGGUGACUGGCAGGCUAGAGUACGGCAGAGGGGGGUAGAAUUCCACGUGUAGCAGUGAAAUGCGUAGAGAUGUGGAGGAAUACCGAUGGCGAAGGCAGCCCCCUGGGCCAAUACUGACGCUCAUGCACGAAAGCGUGGGGAGCAAACAGGAUUAGAUACCCUGGUAGUCCACGCCCUAAAACGAUGUCAACUAGUUGUUGGGGAUUCAUUUCCUUAGUAACGUAGCUAACGCGUGAAGUUGACCGCCUGGGGAGUACGGUCGCAAGAUUAAAACUCAAAGGAAUUGACGGGGUCAUAGCUG